UAUCGAUAUAGGUAUAAAAAAAUUGGAAUUAACAUACACUGUACAUCUUAUGAGUUAUUUUUAUACAUAUCCAAAAACAAUUCAUGGGCUUUACGCUUGAAUGCUUGAAAUGAGCUGGAAGAUCUAAUAUCUGGUGGCAACAUAUUAUAAAAAGAUGCUCCAGUGUACCGAAGUCCACUCCUGGUGAUUGAUAGUUUAUAGUUUGGUAUCCAUAAGUCCAUAUUGGCAGUGCUUCUUGUAUGUCGCUGGGAAAUUGUUGACAAUGGUUUGAACAUAUUACUUAAAUAGUCUGGAGUCAAGUUAUUUAAGGAUUUAUAAACUAGGCAAACUACCCUAUACAUAAC